GCAAGCGUUGUCCGGAAUCACUGGGCGUAAAGCGUGCGUAGGCGGUUGUGUAAGUCUGAAGUGAAAGUCCAAGGCUCAACCUUGGGAUUGCUUUGGAAACUGCAUGACUUGAGUGCUGGAGAGGCAAGGGGAAUUCCACGUGUAGCGGUGAAAUGCGUAGAUAUGUGGAGGAAUACCAGUGGCGAAGGCGCCUUGCUGGACAGUGACUGACGCUGAGGCACGAAAGCGUGGGGAGCAAACAGGAUUAGAUACCCUGGUAGUCCACGCCGUAAACGAUGAGUGCUAGGUGUUGGGGGGACACACCCCAGUGCCGAAGGAAACCCAAUAAGCACUCCGCCUGGGGAGUACGGUCGCAAGACUGAAACUCAAAGGAAUUGACGGGGGCCCGCACAAGCAGUGGAGCAUGUGGUUUAAUUCGAAGCAACGCGAAGAACCUUACCAGGGCUUGACAUCCCUCUGACCGGUGCAGAGAUGCACCUUCCCUUUGGGGCAGAGGAGACAGGUGGUGCAUGGUUGUCGUCAGCUCGUGUCGUGAGAUGUUGGGUUAAGUCCCGCAACGAGCGCAACCCUUGAUCUGUGUUACCAGCACGUGAUGGUGGGGACUCACAGGUGACUGCCGGCGUAAGUCGGAGGAAGGCGGGGAUGACGUCAAAUCAUCAUGCCCUUUAUGUCCUGGGCUACACACGUGCUACAAUGGGCGGUACAACGGGAAGCGAAGCCGCGAGGUGGAGCCAAACCUAAAAAGCCGUUCGUAGUUCGGAUUGCAGGCUGCAACUCGCCUGCAUGAAGCCGGAAUUGCUAGUAAUCGCGGAUCAGCAUGCCGCGGUGAAUCCGUUCCCGGGCCUUGUACACACCGCCCGUCACACCACGAGAGUCGGCAACACCCGAAGUCGGUGAGGUAACCAUGAUGGAGCCAGCCGCCGAA
rnacentral:rRNA from 1 species